rnacentral:rRNA from 1 species
GAUAAACGCUGGCGGUGUACAUAAGACAUGCAAGUCGAACGGGAGAAACUAAGAUGGAUUUAUUCAACUUAGCAGACACCGUGGCGGAUGGGUGAGUAACACGUAAGCAACCUGCCUAAAAGAGGGGAAUAACAGAGAGAAAUUUCUGAUAAUACCGCAUAUACCAAAGUAUCGCAUGGUACAAUUGGGAAAGAUUUAUCACUUUUAGAUGGGCUUGCGUCUGAUUAGCUAGUUGGUGAGAUAACAGCUCACCAAGGCGACGAUCAGUAGCCGGAUUGAGAGGUUGAACGGCCACAUUGGGACUGAGACACGGCCCAGACUCCUACGGGAGGCAGCAGUCGGGAAUAUUGCACAAUGGAGGAAACUCUGAUGCAGUGACACCGCGUAUAGGAAGAAGGCCUUAGGGUUGUAAGCUAUUGUCGUGUGAGAAGAAAAUGACUAUCACAGGAGGAAGCCCUGGCUAAAUAUGUGCCAGCAGCCGCGGUAAUACAUAUGGGGCGAGCGUUAUCCGGAUUUAUUGGGUGUAAAGGGUUCGUAGGCGGGAAAGUAAGUCAGUAUGUGAAAUCCCUCGACUCAACCGAGGAACUGCAAUUGAAACUAUUUUUCUUGAGUACUGGAGGGGAGAGUGGAAUUCUUAGUGUAGCGGUGAAAUGCGUAGAUAUUAGGAAGAACACCAGUGGCGAAGGCGACUUUCUGGACAGUAACUGACGCUGAGGAACGAAAGUGUGGGGAGCAAACAGGAUUAGAUACCCUGGUAGUCCACACUGUAAACGAUGGAUACUAGGGGUUGGCAUAGGAAAUGUCGGUCCCGCAGUUAACGCAUUAAGUAUCCCACCUGGGGAGUACGACCGCAAGGUUAAAACUCAAAGGAAUUGACGGGGGCCCGCACAAGCAGUGGGGUAUGUGGUUUAAUUCGACGCAACGCGAAGAACCUUACCAGGGCUUGACAUGAUUAGGAAUAUAUAAGAGAUUAUAUAGCUCUACGGAGUCUAAUUACAGGUGGUGCAUGGUUGUCGUCAGCUCGUGUCGUGAGAUGUUGGGUUAAGUCCCUAAACGAGCGCAACCCUUAUCGCUAGUUGCUAACAUUAAGUUGAGGACUCUAGUGAGACUGCCGUUUAUUAAAACGGAGGAAGGAGAGGAUGACGUCAAAUCAUCAUGCCCUUUAUGUCCUGGGCUACACACGUACUACAAUGGGUAGGACAAAGGGAAGCAACGGAGUGAUCCUGAGCAAAACCCAAAACCUAUUCACAGUUCGGAUUGAAGGCUGAAAUUCGCCUUCAUGAAGCCGGAAUUGCUAGUAAUGGCAGGUCAGCAUACUGCCGUGAAUACGUUCCCGGGCCU